rnacentral:lncRNA from 1 species
CCGCGUGUGAUUCUGGCUCCAAGAGACAAGUCUCCACAUUUCAAUUAAACAUGCAAAGGCUGUGGGGUGCUUCAAGACUGCACUCAGCGACAAGUGUGCAGCCUACUCCCAUUUAAAUACAGAUGCUUUAAGAAUAAUUAUAAAUUUAUCAAUCUCCCUGUGAACCAGCAGCAGAAAGGCAUCCGUAUGUGCAGCAGAGGCAGCAGAGCAGAGCAAGCAGUGCUAAGGACACCGAGCAAACUGCCUUUCAGCUCUCACAUUUAUAAAUAAUUUACUUCUAUCCACCUGUGCCCAGAAUAACAAUUUGCUGCCUGAAAUCUCGGAGCUGGCGCCGGGAGGCUGCCGGGGACUCGCUUUCCCGGGACCCUCUGGACCUGUUGGGAAGGGGCCUGGGUCUCCAGAGGGAUCUGCCCCUAGCGGGAAGAGGCACCGAGCAACAAACCCCGGAGCAUCCGCGGGGCUGAGCGCAUUAGGGCUGCGCGCUGCUGCCGCGCCACUUCGCAUCUGCCGGAGCCGCCAUCCGCGCCCAGGCACUGCGCGGAGGGUACGGGCAGGUCUGGAAACGUCUGUGGCUGCGGAAGGCUGCAGAGCUCUUCCGUGAGGCAGCCGUGAAGGAGAGGCUCUGCCUCCCCGGCCGGGGGAGCGUUACGAAACGCGAGUUCCCGAGCGGGCUGAGGAUUCCGGCCGCGCCGCGCGGAGGCGGCUGCGUCCUGCCUGGGGCUGCGGGCGGCCAUGGAGCGGCCCCGCGCCGCCGGACCCCGGCCAGGGACCCCGGUGAGCCGCCGGAGUUACCGAGAGAGCAGCCGGAGCAGCCGGAGGCAGAGCCGAGGGGGCUCGGGAGGAUCACGGCCGGGAGCGGGAGGCAGGAGGAGGAUUAGAGGGAAGGGCAGAGGGAGCAGGAUUUAUCAGCUUCUCAGACAGGCAUUACAGCUUUUCGUAACAUUUCACUGGAUCGCCUAGGACUUCGCCUGGCUACACAGGAGUUCUCCACCAUAAAAGAAAGGUGAGUUUUUUUCCUCUUUUUCUUACACAGUUGUGUUAUCUGCUCCUGCAAGCUGUUUGUCAGCCGGCCUUGACACAAGUAAUAACCAGACAACUUUUUGCAGAGGCUGAGGUAUUAACAUUCAUUGCGGUCUGAAUGGCUGUUUGAUUUAUUAAAUUUAUCCCUGGCAUCUAAGUACACAAGGCUUGGCUGCAUUAUUUAUAAAGAUUGCAGUUUGCUCUCGAGAUGCCCUUCUCCGAGCAUCCACAAAACAUUAUACUUGAAAAGUAGUCAUGGAUAAUGCAAGUGUGUGUUUGUGUCAGAGCCUGGUGAGGCAGACUAGAAUGCUCAGCUUCUCUAAACAG